rnacentral:rRNA from 1 species
GGUGAACGCUGGCGGCGUGCCUAAUACAUGCAAGUCGAGCGAACGGACGAGAAGCUUGCUUUUCUGAUGUUAGCGGCGGACGGGUGAGUAACACGUGGAUAACCUACCUAUAAGACUGGGAUAACUUCGGGAAACCGGAGCUAAUACCGGAUAAUAUUUUGAACCGCAUGGUUCAAAAGUGAAAGACGGUCUUGCUGUCACUUAUAGAUGGAUCCGCGCUGCAUUAGCUAGUUGGUAAGGUAACGGCUUACCAAGGCAACGAUGCAUAGCCGACCUGAGAGGGUGAUCGGCCACACUGGAACUGAGACACGGUCCAGACUCCUACGGGAGGCAGCAGUAGGGAAUCUUCCGCAAUGGGCGAAAGCCUGACGGAGCAACGCCGCGUGAGUGAUGAAGGUCUUCGGAUCGUAAAACUCUGUUAUUAGGGAAGAACAUAUGUGUAAGUAACUGUGCACAUCUUGACGGUACCUAAUCAGAAAGCCACGGCUAACUACGU